CCAAUAGCGUAUAUUAAAGUUGUUGCAGUUAAAAAGCUCGUAGUUGAAUUUCGGGAUUGACCCAUCGGUCGUGCCUUAAGGGGUAUGAACUGGUGUAGUCAAUUUCUCACCUUCUGGAGAACCGCGAUGUCCUUAAUUGGGUGCCGCGAGGAACCAGGACCUUUACUUUGAAAAAAUUAGAGUGUUUAAAGCAGGCAUUUUUGCUUGAAUACAUUAGCAUGGAAUAAUAAAAUAGGACGGCAUGAUUCUAUUUUGUUGGUUUCUAGGAUCACCGUAAUGAUUAAUAGGGAUAGUUGGGGGCAGUAGUAUUCAAUUGUCAGAGGUGAAAUUCUUGGAUUUAUUGAAGACUAACUACUGCGAAAGCAUUUGCCAAGGAUGUUUUCAUUAAUCAAGAACGAAAGUUAGGGGAUCGAAGACGAUAAGAUACCGUCGUAGUCUUAACCAUAAACUAUGCCGACUAGGAAUCAGACGAUGUUAAUUUUUUAAUGACUCGUUUGGCACCUUACG
rnacentral:rRNA from 1 species